AGCUGCGUUGAAAACAGGCGCGAGAUUCGACGAGACUUGAGUAUUCGCAAAAUGACUUUGGUACGAGUGAGAUUGUAAAUAAAAAAGCUAUUUGUUGUCGUGUUUAUGCGCGUUCGUCACGCAAGAAUACGCAGGUUUUAUAACGUACCUCAGCGGAGUUAUGUUUUGAGUGAACGGGCGUCGGCGUCGGUUGUUUUGAAUGCACGGGCGUCGGUUGUUAUGGAGUCCAAGCCGGUUCCUGCGAAGCUGCUUUACGCCGCUCCUCCGUACGGACAGAUGAUCUCUCACGAGAAGUGGAGAGGUUCCUCGCUCCUGCAGAGCAUCAGAGGGAGCGUGACGACGAUCUUUGAGGAGGAGCUGGGAGUCGUGGACUUCUGCCUCAGUAAUAAAACGUGCAUCUUGUAUGUGUCGGAGAGUGAUCUGGUGGCAGGAAAUGGCUACAGGAGGAAGAUUGUCCAGUUUAGAAAUGCUAACAGCGGCCUGCAGGGUAUUGUGAUUGUGGAGAAGACUCACCUGAGCGAGCAGUACUUCAGCGGACUGCAGAAGUUUGUGGUUUUGGAGCUGGGUCUGACUCUGCUGCCUGUAUCCAGUGCUGCCGAAGCGGCUCAGCUCAUAGCCCAGCUGGUCAUCCUAACGCAUUCGUCCUCCGCAGGUUCUCGGCGAGAACAAGGACAACCCGUUCGUCAGGAAGAGCGUGACCCGACUGCUCGACCCAGUGGUGCUGAGUCUGGUUCUGCAGAUCCCUGGCGUGGGAAAGGUGAAGGCCACGCAGCUCCUACAGCGGUUCCCCAGCAUCCAUCAGCUCUGCGGAGCUCCACUGCGUGAGCUGGAGCCCAUCGUGGGACAGGCCACAGCACAGCAUAUCGCAACGUUCUUCCACAGCCGCUUCACUAUUUGAUCCGGCCUCUGUCUCCCUCUGUCAGCACACAUACAGUACGGCUCUCUGUCUGAAGCCCCUGUGAUCUAUUGGUUUUCUGCUCGACUUCCUCUUUUAAGCGUCGCACACUGCUGGCAGAGCUUCAGCGUUCCUGCUGGACUACAAAGCAGCUCACACUCAACGGCUUUCCUCAGGGAGAUCAGCUGAAAACCGGCCUCCUUUAUCUGCAUGCAGAGAAAAGCUACAGCCACAAAUUCACGACUUGACUUCCUAAAAUCCCUUCAGGAAUCCUCUGCAUUGCAAACACACGUCUCUGCGGAUCGCCCUGUACCCGUCCUUUCGGUCGCUCUUCUGUAAAUCUUUUUAUCGGCUGACAUCGCCUCGGUAAACACGGCACGAACUAUGUUCAGUUGUAUUAGAAUUUCUGUUAAGUAUUAGUUACUGUCCUUUCGAGAGCGCAUGAUCAAAUUUUGUGCUUCUGGAGUCCCGAUGCUGUCCAGUUUUGCCAGUUUUGGACUACCCUAGCUAAUUUCAUUGCAAAACAUUUAGCUUUUUAUUUAUUUUUUUUUGUGACUCGCAUGAUAAAAACACACAUUUUGCACCUAAAUUGCAAUGGCCUAAUAAUAAUAAUAAUAAUAAAAAUAACAUUUGAAUAAUUGUUCAUUUACAAUGCACUUUAGCAGCUCGAUGCUUGCAGUUGUUGAUCAGUUUAGGGGAAGUGCAGAAAUAUGGUAGGAUAAAUGGAAAAGGUUAUUUUUUUUUUACCACGUAUCCAUUA